AUGAAACACAACUCUUUUGCGUUUUCUCGAAAAAAAAGAAGCCUAUUUUCAGCACAAGUACGAGUCUACACCAAGCAAUGGCACUUCAACAUGGCCCGCCAGCAAAUAAAUGCUCAAAAAAAUAGUUCACAUGACAAACUAAUAAGAUCAUGGCAAAGACGUGCAACAUUUUUUCGAAAUCAUAGCAUUGCACAUGUCCCCAACGCUCACAAACUAAAGAUCCAAUCAUCUCAUAUACCGGUGCUAAGCCACCACAAGAUUGUAUUGAAGAAUUUGCAGAAGCUCUAUGCCUCUUCAUCACAUGCACCAAUCCCACAGGAGGCCACACUAGAAUGA
rnacentral:rRNA from 1 species